rnacentral:rRNA from 1 species
AGUGAACGCUGGCGGUAGGCCUAACACAUGCAAGUCGAACGGCAGCACAGUAAGAGCUUGCUCUUACGGGUGGCGAGUGGCGGACGGGUGAGGAAUACAUCGGAAUCUACUUUUUCGUGGGGGAUAACGUAGGGAAACUUACGCUAAUACCGCAUACGACCUACGGGUGAAAGCAGGGGAUCUUCGGACCUUGCGCGAUUGUAUGAGCCGAUGUCGGAUUAGCUAGUUGGCGGGGUAAAGGCCCACCAAGACGACGAUCCGUAGCUGGUCUGAGAGGAUGAUCAGCCACACUGGAACUGAGACACGGUCCAGACUCCUACGGGAGGCAGCAGUGGGGAAUAUUGGACAAUGGGCGCAAGCCUGAUCCAGCCAUACCGCGUGGGUGAAGAAGGCCUUCGGGUUGUAAAGCCCUUUUGUUGGGAAAGAAAAGCAGCAGGUUAAUACCCCGCUGUUCUGACGGUACCCAAAGAAUAAGCACCGGCUAACUUCGUG